rnacentral:lncRNA from 1 species
CCCCACUUUGUGGGACUAUACUGGGUAGUUGUUGUUGUUUUACUAUAUAUGGUAUAAGAUACCUUGAAAUUGAGAAAAUAGAUAGGGGAGAAACGUGCUAACUGAAAUGUGCUGGGCUGGGUGUCAAAUAUACAUACUCCUGUAACUACAACAUCAACAUACCCAGUGUUGCUCCUGUAAAAUAAAUGAUAUAUAUGUAAGUGUUUUUCAUGUUCUGCAGGGUGUAAAAUCUAGUCAAAAUUCUUUUCGCGUUCGCUUAACAUACUCACAUUCUGAUGCAUUAACAAGGGAUGAUGUUCAGGAAAGGGCUGGAGGAAAUAAGAGGAGGAAAACAGGCAUGUUAUCUUGUCAAAUUUCUCCUUUUCCUAUUUGAGAGAUUUAAGUUUCUGUA